UACAGAGGUCUCAAGCGUUGUUCGGAUUCAUUGGGCGUAAAGGGUGCGUAGGCGGCGCGGUAAGUCGGGUGUGAAAUUUCGGAGCUUAACUCCGAAACUGCAUUCGAUACUGCCGUGCUUGAGGACUGGAGAGGAGACUGGAAUUUACGGUGUAGCAGUGAAAUGCGUAGAGAUCGUAAGGAAGACCAGUGGCGAAGGCGGGUCUCUGGACAGUUCCUGACGCUGAGGCACGAAGGCCAGGGGGAGCAAAACGGGG
rnacentral:rRNA from 1 species